GAAGGGUGCAAGCGUUAAUCGGAAUUACUGGGCGUAAAGCGCGCGUAGGUGGUUUUGUAAGUUGGAGGUGAAAUCCCCGGGCUCAACCUGGGAACUGCCUCCAAAACUGCAUGACUAGAGUACGGUAGAGGGUAGUGGAAUUUCCUGUGUAGCGGUGAAAUGCGUAGAUAUAGGAAGGAACACCAGUGGCGAAGGCGACUACCUGGACUGAUACUGACACUGAGGUGCGAAAGCGUGGGGAGCAAAC
rnacentral:rRNA from 1 species